rnacentral:rRNA from 1 species
AGGGUUUGAUCAUGGCUCAGGACGAACGCUGGCGGCGUGCUUAAUACAUGCAAGUCGAACGAUCCCGGGACUUCGGUCCCAAUGGGAGAGUGGCGAACGGGUGCGUAACACGUGAGAAACCUGUCCCGAAGAUGGGAAUAGCCCAGGGAAACCUGGAUUAAUGCCCAAUACCCUGAGAGCGCCGCAUGGCGCAUUCAGGAAAGGUUCCGGCGCUUUGGGAGGGUCUCGCGGCCUAUCAGCUUGUUGGUGAGGUAAAGGCUCACCAAGGCAUCGACGGGUAGCUGGUCUGAGAGGACGAUCAGCCACACUGGGACUGAGACACGGCCCAGACUCCUACGGGAGGCAGCAGUAGGGAAUCUUGCGCAAUGGGCGAAAGCCUGACGCAGCAACGCCGCGUGGGGGAAGAAGGCCCUCGGGUCGUAAACCCCUUUCAGCAGGGACGAAAUUGACGGUACCUGCAGAAGAAGCGCCGGCCAACUACGUGCCAGCAGCCGCGGUAAUACGUAGGGCGCAAGCGUUGUCCGGAUUUAUUGGGCGUAAAGGGCUCGUAGGCGGUUCGGUAAGUCGGGUGUGAAAACUCAGGGCUCAACUCUGAGACGCCACUCGAUACUGCCAUGACUAGAGUCCGGUAGAGGAGUGCGGAAUUCCUGGUGUAGCGGUGAAAUGCGCAGAUAUCAGGAGGAACACCGACAGCGAAGGCAGCACUCUGGGCCGGUACUG